GGAAAAAGGGCGGGCGGCUAACACAUGCAGUCGAGCGGAAACGAGUUAACUGAACCUUCGGGGAACGUUAACGGCGUCGAGCGGCGGACGGGUGAGUAAUGCCUGGGAAAUUGCCCUGAUGUGGGGGAUAACCAUUGGAAGCGAUGGCUAAUACCGCAUAAUAGCUUCGGCUCAAAGAGGGGGACCUUCGGGCCUCUCGCGUCAGGAUAUGCCCAGGUGGGAUUAGCUAGUUGGUGAGGUAAUGGCUCACCAAGGCGACGAUCCCUAGCUGGUCUGAGAGGAUGAUCAGCCACACUGGAACUGAGACACGGUCCAGACUCCUACGGGAGGCAGCAGUGGGGAAUAUUGCACAAUGGGCGCAAGCCUGAUGCAGCCAUGCCGCGUGUAUGAAGAAGGCCUUCGGGUUGUAAAGUACUUUCAGCAGUGAGGAAGGUGGGUAUGUUAAUAGCAUACACAUUUGACGUUAGCUGCAGAAGAAGCACCGGCUAACUCCGUGCCAGCAGCCGCGGUAAUACGGAGGGUGCGAGCGUUAAUCGGAAUUACUGGGCGUAAAGCGCAUGCAGGUGGUUUGUUAAGUCAGAUGUGAAAGCCCGGGGCUCAACCUCGGAAUUGCAUUUGAAACUGGCAAACUAGAGUACUGUAGAGGGGGGUAGAAUUUCAGGUGUAGCGGUGAAAUGCGUAGAGAUCUGAAGGAAUACCGGUGGCGAAGGCGGCCCCCUGGACAGAUACUGACACUCAGAUGCGAAAGCGUGGGGAGCAAACAGGAUUAGAUACCCUGGUAGUCCACGCCGUAAACGAUGUCUACUUGGAGGUUGUGGCCUUGAGCCGUGGCUUUCGGAGCUAACGCGUUAAGUAGACCGCCUGGGGAGUACGGUCGCAAGAUUAAAACUCAAAUGAAUUGACGGGGGCCCGCACAAGCGGUGGAGCAUGUGGUUUAAUUCGAUGCAACGCGAAGAACCUUACCUACUCUUGACAUCUACAGAAGCCAGCGGAAAACCCAGGUGUGCCUUCGGGAACUGUAAAAACAGGUGCUGCAUGG
rnacentral:rRNA from 1 species